UACGUAAGGAGCGAGCGUUGUUCGGAUUUAUUGGGCGUAAAGGGCGCGCAGGCGGUUUUACAAGUCUGUAAUCAAAUCCCCGGGCUUAACUCGGGACAGGUUAUGGAAACUGUAGAACUAGAAUCCUUUAGGGGAAGCUGGAAUUCCUGGUGUAGGGGUGGAAUCUGUUGAUAUCAGGAAGAACACCAAAGGCGAAGGCAGGCUUCUGGGGAGUGAUUGACGCUGAGGCGCGAAAGUGUAGGGAGCAAACAGG
rnacentral:rRNA from 1 species